AGAUGAUUUUAGGCCAUCUUUUGUUAGCCACAUUUUUUUCCCAAACACUGUCCUUAACGAAAAAUUAUCCUUUGUUAUCUACUUUGAGCCUAUUUAGCUUUUAUUCUUUAGCUGGAUGAUAGGGGGUGAUGUAGUAUAUGGGGAUCUUUAUGUGGUGAUUGUUCAAAGUGGGUUGUGAAAAAGAAGGGAUGAUAUUGUGCUACUAUUUACUCUUAUAAGCUCUAGAAAAGUUGUGGAAAGAAAAGAAAAGAAAAAAA
rnacentral:lncRNA from 1 species